rnacentral:tRNA from 1 species
GCGGGUGCGUCGAACCUGACGAGGUGAGACGAAGAGCUUCCCAAGCUCAAGACGUGGGUUCGAUUCCCAUCGCCCGCUCCA